rnacentral:rRNA from 2 species
AGCAGCCGCGGUAAUUCCAGCUCCAAUAGCGUAUAUUAAAGUUGUUGCAGUUAAAAAGCUCGUAGUUGAACUUCAGGCCUGGCUGGACGGUCCGCCCUCUGGGUGAGCACUGUCUGUGGUCGGGUCCUACCUUCUGGCGAAGCGGCAUGGCCUUAACCGGCCGUGGCGGGGAACCAGGACUUUUACUGUGAAAAAAUUAGAGUGUUCAAAGCAGGCACGCGCUUGAAUACAUUAGCAUGGAAUAAUGGAAUAGGACAAUGGUUCUAUUUGUUGGUUUCUAGGACCGUUGUAAUGAUUAAUAGGGAUAGUUGGGGGCAUUAGUAUUCAAUUGUCAGAGGUGAAAUUCUUGGAUUUAUUGAAGACUAACUACUGCGAAAGCAUUUGCCAAGGAUGUUUUCAUUAAUCAAGAACGAAAGUUAGGGGAUCGAAGACGAUCAGAUACCGUCGUAGUCUUAACCAUAAACUAUGCCGACUAGGAAUCGGGCGAUGUUGACAAAAUGACGCGCUCGGCACCU